GUCAGUGUGGAGAAAGGGAGGUUGUAGGAUGUUAGUGCUUCAGAGGAAAACAACAACGAGCUUUUCUCUCCUCUCUGGGGAUCCUGGUCAGCUUCACAUUGGUGGCCCAGAAAUCAGUCUCAGCCCCUCCCAGUAUGGACCGCUCCUUGACAGCCGCCCUCUCUCCUAUAAAGGCAGAUGCAAGCUACGUUUGUGUGGGGAUGACACAGCACAAAGGCCCUUGCCAGAUGUGAGCCCCUUGAUAUUGGAUUUCCCAGUCUUCAGAACUGUCGAAAAGCCCAGGAAUGUUCUAGAAUAUAUGAUUGGCGAGGACCCUCACUGGUGCCAUCCACAUCUUCUCUUCAGGACUGGGAACGUUGGCAGCUGAUGAUCCUCUGGGAAGUUCCUUGGUCGGAUCCCAGGGUGCUCACCAAUCC
rnacentral:lncRNA from 1 species